UACGUAGGGGGCAAGCGUUGUCCGGAAUCAUUGGGCGUAAAGCGCGUGUCGGCGGCUAGAUAAGUCUGCUCUGAAAGCCCGGGGCUCAACCCCGGGAGGCGGGUGGAUACUGUCUAGCUCGAGUCCGGAAGAGGAGUGUGGAAUUCCUGGUGUAGCGGUGAAAUGCGCAGAUAUCAGGAGGAACACCAAUUGCGAAGGCAGCUCGCUGGGACGUUACUGACGCUGAGACGCGAAAGCGUGGGGAGCAAACAGG
rnacentral:rRNA from 1 species